rnacentral:rRNA from 1 species
CCUACGGGAGGCUGCAGUGAGGAAUAUUGGUCAAUGGGCGCGACCCUGAACCAGCCAAGUCGCGUGAAGGAAGACGGCCCUAUGGAUUGUAAACCUCUUUUAUCCGGGAGCAAACUACGCCACGCGUGGCGUUUUGCGAGUACCCGAUGAAAAAGCACCGGCUAACUCUGUGCCAGCAGCCGCGGUAAUACGGAGGAUGCGAGCGUUAUCCGGAUUUAUUGGGUUUAAAGGGUGCGCAGGCGGCCGAUUAAGUCAGCGGUAAAAUUGGGGGGCUCAACCUCUUCGCGCCGUGGAAACUGGUGUUCUUGAGUGAGUGAGAGGUAGGCGGAAGUCGUGGUGUAGCGGUGAAAUGCAUAGAUAGCACGCAGAACUCCGAUUGCGAAGGCAGCAUACCGGCGCGCAACUGACGCUCAGGCACGAAGGUGUGGGUAUCGAACAGGAUUAGAUAACCUAGUAGUC